GUCCAUACGUCUGAUUUUAUUAUUUGGGAGCGGAUCAAAUCGGCGGCUCGAGCGGCGGCGGCGGCUCGAGCUUGCAGGGGCUGGGGGCAGAUCCGGAGGCGGGGGUCGCCGGUGACGACGAGGAAGGCGGAGCACGGGCGGAUCCAUGGCAUCCGCGGCUCCUGGGCACAAAGGAGACAGGGAGGCCAGGGAGAGAAGAAGGAAGAAAGGAGGGGUUGUGCGGCGACCUAGCAAGGAGCUCGCCGGAGCUGGGCGAAGGCGGACUGGCGCGGGAGACGGAGGGGUCCGGCGCGGCGGCGCGAAGUCCUUGCAGGUGGAGACAGGCGUCGAAGCAGAGGACGAGAGGAUCCCCUGAUCCAUCCCCUCCUACCCAUCCAGCCCUUUCUCGAUGGCCCGCGUGCGACGAGCCCCUACGCGGGGUAAGAAGGAGGAUCACGCGAGGUGGAGCACUCCAGCCCCCUCCUAGCCCUAUCACGGUGAGGCCUCCUUUCCCUCUCUCCCUGCCUGAGCCAUAGGCUGGCGGCGCUGAGGUCGAUCUGCUCAUGCACACACUGUUGCUAUGACAUGAUGACAGCCACGACCCACUUUUUCUUCCAGUUCCUUGUUUUUGUGGUGGAUGCAUCCAUGAUUAUUUGUUUCAACUAUUGAUUUUCAGUUUAGUCAAUCAAACCCAUUCCAAUGCUGCUCUUUUACUUGUACAAAUAAACUAUUGUUCACUAAAUUGAGCAGCUAGCUAUUGGUGUCUCAAAGAUUAAGCGCAGGUUGGUAUUUAUGGUCAGGCCUGCCUCAAGUAGAGGAAGAAGAGGAGGCCUGAAAGAGAGAGGCCGCAAGGUAGAAGCCUUUUGAUUAGGAGGCAGUCUAGCAAGUUGGACGAACUGCUGAUAAAGAGAUAAUUCUAUUCUGAAUUUUUAUCUGAAAAGCAGGAUUGGAUCACGGAUGUAUGUUGGCUAUGUCUCUCACGAAAUUUGUUGAACCUAAAGAUGAAGAGGAACUCGUGGAAGAGGAAAAGAAAUGACAUGGUAGAAAUUCAUUCACACAUAUCAGGGUCAUAGUGAGAGGAUUGAUCUGCUUGAUUCGCUCCUGAUGGUCGGUGGAUUGUUUCUGGUAGGGCUAAGAGUUCUGUGAAGGUAAGAUUUUGAUCCAACCUAUUAAGCAGUACCAUACAAAUUACAGGAGAAUCUGUUGUUUGGUCCAACCUAUAAAGGUGCCAUAUAUGCUCAGUUGCUCACAACAGUGCUAAUAUUAACAAGGUGAAUAAACUCACGCUCUAGCGGAAGAUAUCCUUUAUAUUUUUGGGGUCACUGAUACCUGUACAAAAACAUAAGAUGUGUUCCUAGAUAACAUCUUUCCUCCAAAAUAAUUUAUAUAUCAUCUAGACUUGGUUAGUUGUAGCUUUUGCUUUCUGUUCUUUCCACAAGCUUCUGUAGGUUCAAAUGAUAGUUGUUAAAUUUUGGGACCUUAAGACUUUUUAGUUGAUUGCAUCCUCUAGACCGGGAGGUAUAAUAGCAUAUCCUAAUUGUCUAUUUGAUGAUUCAGAAAGCUCUGGCUCUACUCAUGUAUAUCAGUUUAUAUUCAGAUUGUGAAGUACUCCCUCUAUAAAGAAAUAUAAGAGCGUUUAGUUCUAUAAAACAUAUUUAUAUGCAGUUAUCCAACAAAUUUAUGUCCUAAAAUCUUACAACUUCUCUUAAGCUGUUUUUUUUGCGGGAAAGUUGUAUUUGACCAUAACCUUGGCUUAAAUGCAAUUUAAUUUCAACCUCAAAUUUGGUGAUUUUUUAAUGGGCACAACUGUGUCGGUAGAGGACUAGAGGUUGACAGUUAUGAAUUUUGUGAUAAUCUUCGGCUAUACUGUUAUAUAUAGCACUUUCCAGGUUAUAUGGUUCACAUUCUCUGAGCCAAUUCACAAUGACCAUUCCAGAUUUGGGCCUUGCAUUUUUAAAUUACUAUUUGAUGCCCCGCGCGUUGCUGCGGGAAUUUGUUGUGGAUUUCUAAGUAACUUGAACAAAAAAAUAAGUUAACAAUUCGAAUUAAUAAUAUGAGAUUUCAUAUAGGUAAUGAUGAGCAACAAUAUGAUAGCUUUCAUAUAGAGGCAAUGAUUAAAAUUAUUAGUGGUAUAAUUAUAUAUUGUAUUGAUUGCAUGAACCAUAUCUCAACAUAAUCUAUUUCACGUUGUUUGGAGGAGUGUCCUCUUCGACCAAUAGGUAGUAGAGAAGAGUAAUAUAAUGCAGGCGGGAUAUAAAACUUAUUCACUCUGGUAUAUAUUUGAUUUUGUACUGCUGAGGGCACAUAGAAGUAUAUGAGAUUGUUCCUCAGUUACAAUAGAAUUUUCCUUCCACUCAGUUACAUUAGAACUGAUCUCCCACAGAAACAAUUGGUAAGGACAUGUGAUAGAUGACAUAGAGCAAGGUAAGUAAACUGAGAAAGGUAAUCAAUAAAUUAUAUAAUGACCGGACCAAAUGUAAUAGACCAAGCAAACCAUAUAGCAGGAACCAUCGAUAUUGAGACGGGGGACACACGGCAAAGAAAACAAACAGAGCGAUCCAAAUGCAACCAUCCAGCCAAAGGCCAUCGAUAUUGAGAUACACCCAUUGGCACCUGCACAUCAUAACAAAAAGGAAGCCAGCACGCACAUGCACAGAAGGAAUUUGAAGCAAUCAAGAGCAGCGGAGAACACGACUUUGGUCCUCGCAUGCGGCAACAGCAGCAUCCGGCUUCAAAGAACGGCUCUCUGUCAGGCUGGCCCAGCCGGCUACACCGCUACUCACAGCGGAUGUGGCACCCAGCCCGCGCGGCAAAGGCCCUCGGCCACGACGCCGCUCAUCCCGAUACAGCAACAUUGUGUGGCGUCGUCAGCAGCACGCGUCGUUGUCGACGCAGGACGGCGCGUGGCGAAGCCCUUCGGCUUGACCUGUCGCUUCUCCCACGGCGAACCUGACCAUGGAGGCGGCUAGCAUGGUUGCACCCAACGCUACGUCUCCCGGCCGGCCGGCCGUGACGACGCCCUCCGGCGUGCACGCGCGUUGGCUGCCCAGCAGCCCAGGCUACACUUCUUAAAGGGAGAUGAACUGCAUCCGUUACCCAUGCAUGAGGAGGGAGAAGAAAAUCCAUCCGUUUCUAUUGCAAUACAAAAGUGGGAUUUGAUGGGCAUUGAAGAAGGAAACGGAAGCCAUGGUGAUUGCAGAGAAGUAGGAAGCACCGACGGAGGGCCCUACAAUGGGGAAUUAAUUGUGGAAAGAAACUCAUGUAGAUAUCUGUGAAGGAGAAGAAACGGUGCGAUCGGGCAGAGCAGCGGGCCUUGGGGCUAAAAUGAAGUUGUAUGGUGAAGAAACGAAAAAGAGAGGAAGAGAAGUUAAAUUACAGGAAUAAGAAAAGUAUUUGGAAUUGAUGAUGUGGCUAGAAUGCUGAGGUGGACUGAGAUGGAUGGCUGCAUGUAGAUUGAUGAUGUGAAUAGCUUGCAUGUCAAGAGAAAUCAUGUAGUGAGGGGCUUCUAUUUAGAUAUAGUAGAUUUUGUAACAUUUUGGUUGAUCUUUGAUGCUGCUCCUUAAUUUUUUACAUUGACUGGUGUAGAACUAAAUGAGUGUUGACAUUCAAGGGAGGCCCCAUGCUUUUAAACAGUAUAUGAAUGUUGUUAGCUCGGUCCUUCACAAAUAA